AUUGAACGCUGGCGGCAGGCCUAACACAUGCAAGUCGAACGGUAACAGGAAGAAGCUUGCUUCUUUGCUGACGAGUGGCGGACGGGUGAGUAAUGUCUGGGAAACUGCCUGAUGGAGGGGGAUAACUACUGGAAACGGUAGCUAAUACCGCAUAACGUCGCAAGACCAAAGAGGGGGACCUUCGGGCCUCUUGCCAUCGGAUGUGCCCAGAUGGGAUUAGCUUGUUGGUGGGGUAACGGCUCACCAAGGCGACGAUCCCUAGCUGGUCUGAGAGGAUGACCAGACACACGGGAACUGAGACACGGUCCAGACUCCUACGGGAGGGAGCAGUGGGGAAUAUUGCACAAUGGGCGCAAGCCUGAUGCAGCCAUGCCGCGUGUAUGAAGAAGGCCUUCGGGUUGUAAAGUACUUUCAGCGGGGAGGAAGGGAGUAAAGUUAAUACCUUUGCUCAUUGACGUUACCCGCAGAAGAAGCACCGGCUAACUCCGUG
rnacentral:rRNA from 1 species